UACAGAGGUCUCAAGCGUUGUUCGGAUUCAUUGGGCGUAAAGGGUGCGUAGGCGGCGCGGUAAGUCGGGUGUGAAAUCUCGGAGCUUAACUCCGAAACUGCAUUCGAUACUGCCGUGCUUGAGGACUGGAGAGGAGACUGGAAUUUACGGUGUAGCGGUGAAAUGCGUAGAUAUCGCAAGGAAGACCAGUGGCGAAGGCGGGUCUCUGGACAGUUCCUGACGCUGAGGCACGAAGGCCAGGGGAGCAAACGGG
rnacentral:rRNA from 1 species